rnacentral:rRNA from 1 species
GUCGAACGGGGAUAUUUCAUUGAAGCUUCGGCAGAUUUGGCUUAAUCCUAGUGGCGGACGGGUGAGUAACGCGUGGGUAACCUGCCUUAUACAGGGGGAUAACAGUCAGAAAUGGCUGCUAAUACCGCAUAAGCGCACAGGGCCGCAUGGCCCGGUGUGAAAAACUGAGGUGGUAUAAGAUGGACCCGCGUUGGAUUAGCCAGUUGGCAGGGUAACGGCCUACCAAAGCGACGAUCCAUAGCCGGCCUGAGAGGGUGAACGGCCACAUUGGGACUGAGACACGGCCCAGACUCCUACGGGAGGCAGCAGUGGGGAAUAUUGCACAAUGGGGGAAACCCUGAUGCAGCGACGCCGCGUGAAGGAAGAAGUAUCUCGGUAUGUAAACUUCUAUCAGCAGGGAAGAAAAUGACGGUACCUGACUAAGAAGCCCCGGCUAACUACGUGCCAGCAGCCGCGGUAAUACGUAGGGGGCAAGCGUUAUCCGGAUUUACUGGGUGUAAAGGGAGCGUAGACGGCAUAACAAGUCUGAUGUGAAAGGCUGGGGCUUAACCCCGGGACUGCAUUGGAAACUGUUAAGCUUGAGUGCCGGAGGGGUAAGCGGAAUUCCUAGUGUAGCGGUGAUAUGCGUAGAUAUUAGGAGGACACCAGUGGCGAAGCGGCUUACUGGACG